UUAAAGAGAAUUUAGAAAUUGAGCAAAGUUUUACUAAAUUAUAGUGAUCUUAGGAGCAAAGUUUACUUCGUUUAUGUUAUUGUUAAUCAAAAAUAUAAAAGAAAACUACCUCUAUCUAAUUUUGUCGAUGUCCAUUUCUUAAGAAGUUUCUCAUUAAAACAACCCUUAACUCAGGCAAGGCAGGGCUAAGGUGGUUAGCGUAACUACAAGUGGUUAACUUACAGUUAGCCAACUGAAGAACAAUCAACAAUGCCCGAUUAAUAAGUGAUCGCGCUGCUUGUCUACUACAUGUCCCUGCACUAGUUAUAGCAGUAAUUUCUUUGUUGGGAAGUAUUUAGCACAUCCGGGCUGCGCAAAAGGAGAGGACUAAAUUGAUUAUUAUGAACAGACCAUUAUGAUGAACCACUGAUAUUGACUCAGAGACAUGAAGAUGAGUGCUUUGACAACAAGACUGACUAGCUGAGCCAGCUUAAGAAUUAUGUGGUGUGUGUGUGUCUAAUUCCAGGAGCUCUCUAUGUCAGCCAUCCAUCUAUAUUCUUACUCAUUUUUGUUAAUUAUAAAAUAAAUUUGAUUAUUUAGUGUGUAACUUCAUUGUACCUAUCCUGCUAGCUGUUAGAAAGAUAGCAUCUGUAAUAAUUUAUUUACACUAAAACAUAUUUAAAAAUAAACAUGCUUUAACAUUUAAGUAUGGCCAAUAUGUUGUCAAGUACAGUGGGCAGGGCUGAAUCCAUGAUUGAUGACUGAUCCAUGAUGAUGACUCGUUUUUCUGAUUUAAGAAAAUAUACUCAUCAUCAAAACAGUGUCUGCAAGUACUGUACAGGCUGACUGUUUGGAUGAGAAGUAUAUAUUUGAUUAUUUUUAAGCUUUGUGGUUUCAGGGUUUAAAAAAUGUCUAACUGAAAGUCUAUGAUUACUGUAUUUAUUAUUAUUAUAAUAAAUAAACUUAAAAAAAUCUUUUUUUUAUAAACUUCCAACCCCUAUUUCACCCUCAGAGAUGUCAUUUUCAUAAUUCUUAGAAUACUAGUAGUCAAGAUACUGUAAUAAAAAGAUACAGUUUGUGAGAUUGUAGGGGUUUUGUACCACUUUAGUACUAUUUGGAUACUUAUAUAUUUGGGUUUGAGUAAGGUAUGUCGUGUCCCGGGUAGCGGUUAUGGGUGUUAAAUAAUAGUAGGCUCUACUGAUAAAACACUUGUAUUGACUAUCAGUUACAACGGUUAGGUAACGACUGGCGACAAACCGCCCGUAUUGACUUCGUCAUAAUUACGAAAAUGCUUAAGUAGCAUUUUCAUUUACAAUCUAUGUGUGUGUGACCACCACAUCAUUCCACCCCCUUUUUUUUUUUU